GGAUAACCUACCCUUAGGACCGGGAUAACCUUGGGAAACUGAGGAUAAUACUGGAUAGGCAAUUUUUCCUGUAAUGGUUUUUUGUUUAAAUGUUUUUUCGCCUAAGGAUGGGUCUGCGGCCGAUUAGGUAGUUGGUUAGGUAACGGCUUACCAAGCCGUUGAUCGGUACGGGUUGUGAGAGCAAGAGCCCGGAGAUGGAACCUGAGACAAGGUUCCAGGCCCUACGGGGUGCAGCAGGCGCGAAACCUCCGCAAUGUGAGAAAUCGCGACGGGGGGAUCCCAAGUGCCAUUCUUAACGGGAUGGCUUUUCAUUAGUGUAAAAAGCUUUUGGAAUAAGAGCUGGGCAAGACCGGUGCCAGCCGCCGCGGUAACACCGGCAGCUCUAGUGGUAGCAAUUUUUACUGGGCCUAAAGCGUCCGUAGCCGGUUUAAUAAGUCUCUGGUGAAAUCCUGUAGCUUAACUGUGGGAAUUGCUGGAGAUACUAUUAGACUUGAGACCGGGAGAGGUUAGAGGUACUCCCAGGGUAGAGGUGAAAUUCUGUAAUCCUGGGAGGACCGCCUGUUGCGAAGGCGUCUAACUGGAACGGUUCUGACGGUGAGGGACGAAAGUUAGGGGCGCGAACCGGAUUAGAUACCCGGGUAGUCCUAACU
rnacentral:rRNA from 1 species